rnacentral:lncRNA from 1 species
ACCGACUGAAGGAAAAAGAGAAACCAACUACAAAACUUGGGCGGUGGCAGAGAGCAAGACAAAAUCUGUAGCACCUCUCCUUGCCAAGCUAGCAUCGAGAGAAAACAGAGAGAGUGAGAAAAGAGAGCGAAACUGAGGAAGAGAGUGGGAGCUUGGUUGGUUUCUUCACGAAUUAACCCAGGGACAAGAAGAAAAUAUGGUAAGGAAAGUAAGGGAGGCUGGAGCUAACACUCGAGGGCACAAAAGUUGGGAAGAGAAACUGAUUACGUUUGCAAUUCCUAACACUUAAGGCCAGAGGUAAACUAUAGCCUUUCUUUCCAUUUCUUUUGCGUUUUUCUAGUAGUCUCUUAGGCUGAGUUAGAACCAAGUAAAGAAAGAAACUUUCUAGAAAGCAAAGAUCAACAAAGCUGGAAAUGUUCGUUUGAAAUUGUUAUCCGAUAUUUGAUGAGCUAAGCUGUAAUUUUCUGGUUGUUUCUUAUGUUGCGUAUCUUAUAUACACUCUCUAGCCAUAUAUCUUGACAUACAUACAGAUUAUAUCUUCAAAUAAAACCUGUUAAGAUGAAAUUAUGAUGAACUGCUGGCUGGAAUUCUUGAUACAAUGAAGGAUGAUUGCCGAUGGGGUAAAGUUGGAAAGAAUUUCGGUUCUGGCCAAAAGUUUUGUUGAAACUGGUUAGGACUUGUUUGGUGCACCAUCGGUGACCUUAAUCUGAUUAUGCAUGUAAUGUUUGAAGUGCUAAAAGCAAGAAAAAAAUGAACUUUGAAAGCAACACUGAAGCUGGAAUUUCAAGACAGCAGAUUGGGAUGGAAAAGCUGCAAUUUUGGUUAUUUCUCUAAAAGUUUUGCUAGAUUGUGACUAGAACUCAUGCAUUAUGCUCUGCAUAAUGUUUCUGGGGUGAUGCAUGUGAAUUUCUAUAGUAAAAAUUUGAGUUUUAUGGCAGGUUUCUUGCUGGAAUUCCCAGCUUUGGCCGAGAGAGGAAAUGAACUUCAGAUCAGCUUUUCUUUGGAAUUUUAGCUGCAAAUUUUUAUGUUUGCUGUUCAAGAUUACUUUGUAGCCUGAUAAUUAUAUUUUGCAUGUUGAGUUGGAGUUAAAACUGAAGAAAUUAUGGAGGAAGUGCUGUAUACUAAACUGCUACAUGGUUGGAUGAUUUAGCUAGCUGAUGACAAGAUAUGUGGUGUAGCAUAUGUUACGCGAGUUAGUAUUCGCAUCGAAUUCAAUGGAUCUGCCUGAGUACAGUUGCCAGCUAGCCUUACCAUUGUUCAUUAGAUAAUAUCGUGGAAGCAUAUUGUUUCUUCAUUGCCUGCAUGGCACAGACUGUUCAUGCUUGCCCUACCAAGAGCAAUCACAUUUUUAUACCACCACUAGCUGCUGAUCUGACUAAUUCUCUUAAUGGAUUUCUCGGGGGUCAUUCAAUUUUUGCCAAUAUGCUACUCUUAUCAUGCAUCAAACAUCACUCUGGUCUAGGGGUUAUUAGACCUUGCACAGGAUUUGUGGUCUCGUGGCUUGGAGUUUAUCAGUAAGGCAUUUUCAGCAAGUACCCCACACUCACCAUCCUUGUUGGAGCAAGAGUGCUAUACGUGAAAUGUACCCUCUACUUUUCAUAUUUCCGUGUAUCUGUUAUAUCUCUUUUUAUUUAUUGUAGAACAGAGCAUUGAGCAUGUUUGCUUCAUGUACGUCUUAUUGAUUUUAACACUUGAAAAGCUGGUGAAUUAGAGCAAAUUUAAACAACAAGCAAACUAGAAUCUGGUUUAGCUUAAAAAGGAAAGGAAUGAAAAGUUCACUAGCCUUAAUCUUUAAAUUUGGUUGAAAAUAGUUUAAACUUAGUUUAAACACCUCACCGACCUUAAAUUUGGAGUAUAUGUAUAUCUCCCUUGUUUGAGUUGAUAAAUUUGAUAAAUCUCGCAGAGAAAUGUAAGAAAGAAUUGCUGGAAUUUCACAUCUUGUUUGAUAAGCUAAGGAACUUGGUUUCUAGUGAUUUAAACAUUAAAUCGGUGAGAUUUUAAAGCUUAAAACUUCUCUCUUUACACUUUAGAACUUUAGAACUUAUGUUUGGGGCUGCACAUAAAAUUCCUAACCCUAAAAGUGUGAAUCAAAUGGAAGUGUUAAGAGUACUAGACUUGGAUUAGUUGAACUUUGUUUAGAGAAUCCUAAAACUCUAAAUAAACUUAUUAGAAUUCACAUUAAGAAUACCUGAAUGAUUGUAGUUGUAUUUUACCUCAGGAAUUGAGAGUGAUCAAGGGUUUAACCAGAAAGCGAAGCUUAAUCGACAUUUAACGCGUGAAUAUUUCCGGAUUUGUGUGUUUAACUGUUUAUGCUUACUUAAGUGAAAUUAUUUGAUAAAUGUGUUUAUUAUGAUUAUGUGAUAAAUGUGUUUAUUAUGGAAUAUUGCUAGUGACUCAAUUGUAAAGUGUAUCUCAAUUAUCCCUCACCUUCUAAGUCGGAGUGUACUUUAUCGCACUUAAUUUAGUUUGAGUUUGAAGGUUGAUAAUUGAUCAAGUGUUAUUGUAAGUGUGCAUGACUGUAAGCCGUGUGUGUACUUUACCACACCGGCUGAACUGAGCCCCAAAACCCUUUGUUCAAUGGACUAUUCGAGCCAGCAAAAGGGUUUGGUCGGAUAGGACGGUAGUUUUGGGUAAGUGUAUUGGUAUGCUCGAGUAUUACCACGGAGAGUAGCAGAUUACUAAUAUUGAUAUGACCAUCUAAGUGAGGGAAGUGUUUAUUGUUUUGAAGUUAUAAGGAGGAGUUCGGUGGAGUGUGUAGUGCAUUGAAGUGGCUCUAAUGCGAGCACCGUAUCCUUUUAAAAGUGAUUGUUCAGUCAAAUAUUUCCUUAAUUGUUUAAUUUUGCUACUUGUUUAAGUGUUUAAUUGAAUUUUACUUGUUCGGCAAAUCUCACUGAACUUUAUCUCAAUCUUUUAGCUUUGUUUUCCUUACAGGAGCUAGAGAUUGAAGAGUGAUUGGAUUGAAUUAGAAAGUUAUUUUGGGAAGAUCCAUUACCGUGUAUAUAUUGUAGUCAUAGUUUCUUUUAUAUUUUGAGAUGGUUGAAUCUUUUGUUUUGAGGUUGGUGUGAUAUUAAGAAUGGAUGUUUAGAAUAUGUAUUUUAUUUUUUUUAUUGGACAAAUUUAUGUUUCAAACUGAAUAGAGUUGUACCUAAGAGUGAAUGUUCAGUUGUUCAAUGGUAAUGUUAUUUCUGAAAUUAAUGUAAGUGAGUGACCCCUGGCGAGAGUCAGACAGGCGGUCCACUAACUUCUAGAGUAUGCCCUAGGAGAAGGUGGGGUCGUCACACAUAGUUAACGAUUAAAUUUGAUGGAAUGACCUGAAAUUUAAAUUU